AGGACGAACGCUGGCGGCGUGCUUAACACAUGCAAGUCGAGCGGAAAGGCCCUUCGGGGUACUCGAGCGGCGAACGGGUGAGUAACACGUGAGCAACCUGCCCCUGGCUCUGGGAUAGCUCCGGGAAACCGGGAUUAAUACCGGACAUGACCUUCUCCUGCAUGGGAGUUGGUGGAAAGUUUUUUCGGCCAGGGAUGGGCUCGCGGCCUAUCAGCUUGUUGGCAGGGUAAUGGCCUACCAAGGCGACGACGGGUA
rnacentral:rRNA from 1 species